rnacentral:rRNA from 1 species
UACGUAGGUGGCAAGCGUUAUCCGGAAUUAUUGGGCGUAAAGCGCUCGCAGGCGGUUUCUUAAGUCUGAUGUGAAAGCCCACGGCUCAACCGUGGAGGGUCAUUGGAAACUGGGAGACUUGAGUGCAGAAGAGGAGAGUGGAAUUCCACGUGUAGCGGUGAAAUGCGCAGAUAUCGGGAGGAACACCAAUUGCGAAGGCAGCUUGCUGGGACGGUACUGACGCUGAGGAGCGAAAGCGUGGGUAGCAAACAGG